AACGAACGCUGGCGGCAUGCCUAACACAUGCAAGUCGAACGAGACCUUCGGGUCUAGUGGCGCACGGGUGCGUAACGCGUGGGAACCUGCCCUUAGGUUCGGAAUAACUCCCCGAAAGGGGUGCUAAUACCGGAUAAUGUCUUCGGACCAAAGAUUUAUCGCCUUUGGAUGGGCCCGCGUUGGUUUAGCUAGUUGGUAGGGUAAAAGCCUACCAAGGCGACGAUCCAUAGCUGGUCUGAGAGGAUGAUCAGCCACACUGGGACUGAGACACGGCCCAGACUCCUACGGGAGGAAGCAGUGGGGAAUAUUGGACAAUGGGCGAAAGCCUGAUCCAGCAAUGCCGCGUGAGUGAUGAAGGCCUUAGGGUUGUAAAGCUCUUUUACCCGGGAUGAUAAUGACAGUACCGGGAGAAUAAGCUCCGGCUAACUCCGUG
rnacentral:rRNA from 1 species